rnacentral:rRNA from 1 species
AGCGAACGGGUGAGUAACACGUGAGAAUUUUCCCUAUAGUGAAGGAUACCUUCGAGAAAUCGAAGUUAAUACUGCAUACGUCCCUUCGGGGAGAAAGACGGCCUCUUUGCUGUCGCUAAAGGAUAAGCUCGCGCACUAUUAGCUAGUUGGUGGGGUAAAGGCCUACCAAGGCAGAGAUGGUUAGCCGGCCUGAGAGGGUGUACGGCCACACUGGGACUGAGAUACGGCCCAGACUCCUACGGGAGGCAGCAGUGGGGGAUCUUGCACAAUGGGCGAAAGCCUGAUGCAGCGACGCCGCGUGGAGGAAGAAGGUCUUCGGAUUGUAAACUCCUGUUAAGUGGGAAGAAAUCCUUGCGAGUAAUAUGCGCGAGGGAUGACGGUACCACUAGAGAAAGCUCCGGCUAACUUCGUGCCAGCAGCCGCGGUAAUACGAAGGGAGCAAGCGUUAUUCGGAAUCACUGGGCGUAAAGGGCGUGUAGGCGGUAAAUUAAGUCAGUUGUUAAAUUCCUCAGCCUAACUGAGGCCAAGCGAUUGAAACUGAUUUGCUAGAGUACAGAAGAGAGAAGUGGAAUUAUCGGAGUAGCGGUAAAAUGCGUAGAUCUCGAUAGGAACACCGAUGGCGAAGGCAGCUUCUUGGUCUGUUACUGACGCUAAAAUGCGAAAGCGUGGGGAGCAAACAGGAUUAGAUACCCUGGUAGUCCACGCCGUAAACGAUGAUCACUGGACGUGGGUUUUGCGUUGCAAGAUCCGUGUCGUAGCUAACGCGUUAAGUGAUCCGCCUGGGAAGUACGGUCGCAAGAUUAAAACUCAAAGGAAUUGACGGGGGUCCGCAC